GAUGAACGCUGGCGGCGUGCCUAAUACAUGCAAGUCGAGCGAACGGACGAGAAGCUUGCUUCUCUGAUGUUAGCGGCGGACGGGUGAGUAACACGUGGAUAACCUACCUAUAAGACUGGGAUAACUUCGGGAAACCGGAGCUAAUACCGGAAAAUAUUUUGAACCGCAUGGUUCAAAAGUGAAAGACGGUCUUGCUGUCACUUAUAGAUGGAUCCGCGCUGCAUUAGCUAGUUGGUAAGGUAACGGCUUACCAAGGCAACGAUGCAUAGCCGACCUGAGAGGGUGAUCGGCCACACUGGAACUGAGACACGGUCCAGACUCCUACGGGAGGCAGCAGUAGGGACUCUUCCGCAAUGGGCGAAAGCCUGACGGAGCAACGCCGCGUGAGUGAUGAAGGUCUUCGGAUCGUAAAACUCUGUUAUUAGGGAAGAACAUAUGUGUAAGUAACUGUGCACAUCUUGACGGUACCUAAUCAGAAAGCCACGGCUAACUACGUG
rnacentral:rRNA from 1 species